CAUUUUUCAAAAGAACAUUUGCCCAGGUCAUUUGACCAGAUGCCAAGUUAAAUCAUUAAGGCAUGGCCAACUGCCAUUUCAUUUUUCUUUUUUUUAACUUAAUAUCAUAGAUGUUUUUUAAUUUAAAGGAACCUUAGAUAUCAUUUUCCUUGAGCACAGAAUUUACAACUCAAGAAUGAAAAAAAAAAGAGGGAGGGAUAAUACUGGACAGAAAAAGAACACUGCUAAUCCUCUGGGUAGUUAUCACACAUAGAUUACUACGCCUCUUGCAGAAUGUGAAAGUACAAGUAAACCUGGAGCAUUUAACCAAACAACAACAAAAAUGACUGGGGGAGG